ACGGAUACAAAGAUGGCGGCAACUCGACACCGGAGGUGGAAAUCGAGCUUUUUGAACCCUCUUGUGGGCGGGCGAAUGAAAAAGUAGCAAGCCCUUCAAUGGCCAAUUAACCCAUUACGGUAAAAAGGCGAUACUGAAUUUACGCUGUAAAAAGAAUAUGAACGCAACUUGUGAAGUGUUUGUCCCAUGUUUCAUGAGCUGAAAUAAAAGAUCCCAGACAUGUUCCAUGUGCACAAACAGCUUAUUUCUCUCAAAUGUUGUGCACAAAUUUGUUUACAUCCUUGUUAGUGAGCCUUUCUCCUUUGCCAUGAUAAUCCAUCCAUCUGACAAGUGUGGUAUAUCAACAAGCUGAUUAAACAGCAUGAUCAUUACACAUGUGCACCUUGUGCUGGGGACAAUAAAAGGCCACUCUAAAAUGUGCCGUUUUGUCACACAAAACAAUACCACAAUGUCUCAAAUGUUGAGGGAGCGUGCAAUUGGCAUGCUGACUGCAGAAAUGUCCGCCAGAUAAUUUAAUGUUAACUACCAUAAGCCGCCUCCGUCGUUUCAGAGAAUUUGUCAGUAUGUCCAACCGUUCUCACAACUGCGGCCCACGUGUUUUUUGAUGUCAACCUUGUGAACAGAGUGCCCCAUGCUGGCGGUGGGGUUAUUUAAAACAAAAAAUAUGAAUUUCACCUUUAUUUAACCAGGUAGGCUAGUUGAGAACAAAUUCUCGUUUACAACUGCGACCUGGCCAAGAUAAAGCAAAGCAAUGCAAUACAGAGUUACACAUGGAAUAAACAAACAUACAGUAAAUAAUACAAUAGAAAAAGUAUAUACAGUGUGUGCAAAUGAGGUAGGAUAAGGGAGGUAAGACAAUAAAUAAGCCAUAGUGGCAAAAUAAUGACAAAAUAGCAAUUAAACACUGGAGUGAUAGAUGUGCAGAAGAUGAGUGUGCAAGUAGAGAUACUGUGACGCUACGGUCACAAGACGCAGGCCUCCUAAUUAUCCCUAGAAUUUCUAAGCAAACAGCUGGAGGCAGGGCUUUCUCCUACAGAGCUCAAUUUUUAUGGAAUGGUCUGCCUACCCAUGUGAGAGACGCAAACUCGGUCUCAACCUUUAAGCCUUUACUGAAGACUCGUCUCUUCAGUGGAUCAUAUGAUUGAGUGUAGUCUGGCCCAGGAGUGUGAAGGUGAACGGAAAGGCUCUGGAGCAACAAACCGCCCUUGCUGUCUCUGCCUGGCCGGUUCCCCUCUUUCCACUGGGAUUCUCUGCCUCUAACCCUAUGACAGGGGCUGAGUCACUGGCUUACUAGGGCUCUUUCAUACCGUCCCUAGGAGGGGUGCGUCACUUGAGUGGGUUGAGUCACUGAUGUGAUCUUCCUGUCUGGGUUUGCGUCCCCCCUUGGGUUGUGUCGUGGCGGAGAUCUUUGUGGGCUACUCGGCCUUGUCUCAGGAUGAGGACCUGAGCCCUAGGACCAUGCCUCAGGAAUACCUGGCAUGAUGACUCCUUGCUGUCCCCAGUCCACCUGGCCGUGCUGCUGCUCCAGUUUCAACUGUUCUGCCUGUGAUUAUUAUUAUUUGACCAUGCUGGUCAUUUAUGAACAUUUGAACAUCUUGGCCAUGUUCUGUUAUAAUCUUCACCCGGCACAGCCAGAAGAGGACUGGCCACCCCUCAUAGCCUCGUUCUUCUCUAGGUUUCUUCCAAAGUUUUGGCCUUUCUUGGGAGUUUUUCCUAGCCACCGUGCUUCUACACCUGCAUUGCUUGCUGUUUGUGGUUUUAGGCUGGGUUUCUGUAAAGCUCUUUGAGAUAUCAGCUGAUGUACGAAGGGCUAUAUAAAUACAUUUGAUUUGAUUUGAUACUGGGGUGCAAAAGAGCAAAAUAAUAGUAUGGGGAUGAGGUAGUUGGAUGGGCUAUGUACAGGUGCAGUGAUCUGUGAGCUGCUCUGACAGCUGGUGAGGGAGAUGUGUCUCCAGCUUCAGUGAUUUUUACAGUUCGUUCCAGUCAUUGGCAGCAGAGAACUAGAAGCAAAAGCGGCCAAACGAGGAAUUGGCAUUGGGUGUGACCAGCGAGAUAUACCUGCUGGAGCGCGUGCUAUGGGUGGGUGCUGCUAUGGUGACCAUUAAGCUGAGAUAAGGCGGGGCUUUACCUAGCAAAAACAAAUAGAUGACCUGGAGCCUGUGGGUUUGAAGCGAGGCCCAGCCAACGAGAGCAUACAGGUCGCAGUGGUGGGUAGUAUAAGGGGCUUUGGUGACAAAAUGGAUGGCACUGUGAUAGACUGCAUCCAAUUUGCUGAGUAGAGUGUUGGAGGCUAUUUUGUAAAUGACAUCGCAGAAGUCAAGGAUCGAUAGGAUAGUACGUUUUGCGAGGGUAUGUUUGGCAGCAUGAGUGAAGGAUGCUUUGUUGCGAAAUAUGAAGCCGAUUCUAGAUUUCAUUUUGGAUUGGAGAUGCUUAAUGUGAUUCUGGAAGGAGAGUUUACAGUCUAACCAGACACCUAGGUAUUUGUAGUUGUCCACAUAUUCUAAGUCAGAACCGUCCAGAGUUGCUGGGCGGACAGGUGUGGGCAGCGAUCGGUUGAAGAGCAUGCAUUUAGUUUUUCUUGCGUUUAAGAGCUGUUGGAGGCCUCAGAAGGAGAGUUGUAUGGAAUUGAAGCUCGUCUGGAGGUUAGUUAACACAGUGUCCAAAGAAGGGCCAGAAGUAUACAGAAUGGUGUCGUCUGCGUAGAGGUGGAUCAGAGAAUCACCAGCAGCAAGAGCGACAUCAUUGAUGUAUACAGAGAAAAGAAUCGUCCCGAGGAUUAACCCUGUGGCACCCCCAUAGAGACUGCCAGAGGUCUGGACAACAGGCCCCCCCGAUUUGACACAUUGAACUCUGUAAUUUGAGAAACCAAGACUGUUGAGUCUGCCGAUAAGAAUGUGGUGAUUGACAGAGUCGAAAGCCUUGGCCAGGUCGAUGAAUACAGCUGCACAGUAUUGUCUCUUAUCAAUGGCAGUUAUGAUAUCAUUUAGGAACUUGAGCGUGGCUGAGGUGCACCCAUGACCAGCUCUGAAACCAGAUUGCAUAGCAGAGAAGGUACGGUGGGUUUCGAAAUGGUCGGUGAUCUGUUUGUUAACUUAGCUUUCGAAGACCUUAGAAAGGCAGGGUAGGAUAUAUAUAGGUCUGUACCAGUUUGGGUUAUGGUAUGGGCAGGCAUAAGCUAUAGACAAUGAACACAAUUGCAUUUGAUCUUUUACAAGUUGAAUGCACAGAAAUAACCAGAAUGAGAUCCUGAGGCCCAUUUUCUUUUUUAAAGGUAUCUAUGACCAACUGAUGCGUAUCUCUAUUCCCAAUCGUGAAAUCCAUAGAUUAGGGCCUUAUUUUCUUUUUUUUUCAAUUGACUGAUUUCCUCAUAUGAACUGUAACACGGUCAAAUCUUUGAAAUUGUUGCAUGUUGCGUUUAUGUUUGUUCAGUAUAUAUCAGCGCUCAUGAUGAGACCUGCAUCCCUUCACCAAGCUAUAAUACAUAGUGUUUUAAAGUAUGUUUGCGAGGGAAAAUUCGGUCCUGUGCACUUUGAGCAGCUCUCUUUAUUCGCAGGCAGCUAGGCCUAUUUCUAACGGAUUUCUAUUUUAUUUGCCAGGAUACUUACUCAGAUGUUUGGCAUAGUUUUUGUCUGAUUAAUAUCCCCAUUUUUGUGAUCUAAUAGGCUGUUUUUUAUACUAGCUGCUAGUAGCCUAGGUCAGUGGUCCCCAAAUUGUGGGGUAUGUAACGUAGUUAUGUCACUGUUCGCAAUAAUCGCUACUGUGAAAUAGCUGUCGGCUAUUCCUUUAUGAUUCAUUGUACAAAUGCAAUUAACUAAAUACUGGUAUGUCAAUAUCUACGCUUAUACAGUAACUACUGUGAAACUGAACAAUGUAAAGCAAAUGAAUAAAAACCUUAAAUAUUUGACCAA